rnacentral:rRNA from 1 species
CCAUAGGUUAAUGAGGCGAACCGGGGGAACUGAAACAUCUAAGUACCCCGAGGAAAAGAAAUCAACCGAGAUUCCCCCAGUAGCGGCGAGCGAACGGGGAGCAGCCCAGAGCCUGAAUCAGUGUGUGUGUUAGUGGAAGCGUCUGGAAAGGCGCGCGAUACAGGGUGACAGCCCCGUACACAAAAAUGCACAUGCUGUGAGCUCGAUGAGUAGGGCGGGACACGUGGUAUCCUGUCUGAAUAUGGGGGGACCAUCCUCCAAGGCUAAAUACUCCUGACUGACCGAUAGUGAACCAGUACCGUGAGGGAAAGGCGAAAAGAACCCCGGCGAGGGGAGUGAAAAAGAACCUGAAACCGUGUACGUACAAGCAGUGGGAGCCUCUUUAUGGGG